UACAGAGGGGCAAGCGUUGUCCGGAAUUAUUGGGCGUAAAGAGCUCGUAGGCGGUCUGUCGCGUCUGCUGUGAAAACUCAGGGCUUAACCCUGAGCUUGCAGUGGGUACGGGCAGACUAGAGUGCGGUAGGGAGACUGGAAUUCCGUGGUGUAGCGGUGAAAUGCGCAGAUAUCAGGAGGAACACCGGUGGCGAAGGCGGGUCUCUGGGCCGUAACUGACGC
rnacentral:rRNA from 1 species